UGAUGUGAGGGUGGUCUCGCCGUGACAUCGUCACUCCGAUGAUCACCCGGGCUGGCUAGGCAGGUGUCCCCUUCCUCCCUCAUUGCUAGCGUCCCUCCGGAAGUUGCAGGCUGGAUGGAAGCCAAGGGCCUUCUCUGAUGGAGGAGGACCUUCCUUCUGCUGACAGUGUGGAUUAGCUGGGUUCCCCUUCUAGGACCUCCAGAUAAGCUCUGAGGAGAGCUCAGCGGGGCCUCUCCACAGUCUGCUCACCAGAAGAGGCUCCCAGCAGUUUAGAAAGAAUGCCCGAAAGAACUGUGAAUCUCAAGGAGCAAGCUCAGGGUUUU
rnacentral:sRNA from 1 species